rnacentral:lncRNA from 1 species
GCAAGAGAGAGGGGUCGUCAACACCGUAGUCGUACUGGGUAGCAGCGGCGUCGGUCUCGGUGUCUAGCGAGAGAAGAGGGGGAAGAAACAAUAAAUAUAUUGCAAACAAAUGCAUGACGAUGCAUGACAUGACAAAGCGUGAUGCUAGGUGUACCCUAACGCGGUACGAGGUGGUACCGGUGAAGGGGGGAAACAUCCGGGAAAGUAUCCCCGGUGUUUCGCGUUUUCGGACAGACGAACCAGAGGGGGGGAAAGUUGCGUGUUCGAUAGAUUAGGGAUGUGUGGCGGACGAACAGGUUGUGUAUCCGAAUUCGUCUCGUCAUACUGAGCAACUUUCAUGUAUAAAAUAUUUUCAUCCGAAUUACGGAUUAUUUUAUAUGAAUUUACAAAGCUUUAAACAUAUUUUGAAUUUACAGAAUUCUUUUAAUUCGAAAUAAAACAGCAGAAAUACUUUUGUCACCUUGUGUAUUCUAGCUGUAGUAUAUGAUGGUGGGCCAGAGGGGUUGGGUUGACCUAGUCAAAUAUUUUGACUAGUUAACAUAUGAACAAUGUAGGGACCACAUGUCAUUGACUUAGACCUUUUUCUAAAAAAAUAUUUUUCUUUAAACAAACCUUAAAUCUACAUGUCAUCUACUAUUAGACUAACUUAUCACUAACUUUAAUCCUAAGAUAUACUAGUUAAACAAGGGCCGGCCACACACGGCUAUUGCAUAGCCCGCCACACACAUACACCCCCCACACAGAAGGGAUUAAAACUGUAUUCUAUUAACAAAAGAUAGCCUUUUGUGAUUUUCAUAGUAUUUAAUACAUGCAUCAAAUGGAUUUGGUCCAGUGGGAUAAAAUGAAGUAUGUCAAGUAUACUACCUUCACAUAAUAAUUUCGCUCCUGUUAACAGUCGCUUAGGCGCUGUUUAGAAGCUGUCUAGAGGGUUAUUUAUUGUAGAAAUUGAAAAGCUAGCUAGCUAGCGCUACAGUAACUGAAGGUUCCUGUAGCAGCAACAACACAGGCAGAGCAGCAAGAUGCAGUAGCAGCUAAUGGCAGCAGGAGCAACGCAGUCAACAGCGGCAAGUAGCAGCGGAGCCGCAAAGCAGAGCAGCAGCGGACGCGGCAGCAGGCAGGCGUGAGCGAGCCUAGGCGCGCGCGGGCACGAGCGACUACGGAGAGGCAGCAACACAGACGAGCAGGGGUGCGGCUGAAGUGGUGCGUGGGGCGCAGCUUCGAGGAGGCAGGGCGCAGGCAGAUGUGUGGCGCGCGUGCGGUGCGUGGACGGGGGCAUGCACGGGGAGGCCAUAGGCGUACGAGAGCACCGCAGAGGCGCGCGAGGCUGCAACUACAUAGUACACACAGGUGAUGUGAACAUGAAGCUUCGGCCUCGGCAAGCAACGACGCGCGGGGGCACGGUUUGAAUCCGGGAAUGGGGGGGGGGGUCGGAGGAGGAGCUCACCGCGAGCUCGAAGAUGUGGUCGGGGAGGCCGGAGGUGGACCGGAGCCGCGGCAAACGACGUCGGACACCGGCGAUGUACCGACGAAGAUAUGCUCGAUGUCGAGCGUACCAGCCCUCCUAGCUCGAGCCCUUAGGCGAGGGCGAAGGAGAAGACGAUGGAGGAGCUCUUGGACGUCUUGGCGCGAUGAGGUGAGGCCGGUGGCCACGGGAUCGAGAAG